UACGUAGGGGGCUAGCGUUGUCCGGAAUCAUUGGGCGUAAAGCGCGUGUAGGCGGUCCGGUAAGUCCGCUGUGAAAGUCGGGGGCUCAGCCCUCGGAUGCCGGUGGAUACUGUCGGGCUUGAGUACGGAAGAGGCGAGUGGAAUUCCUGGUGUAGCGGUGAAAUGCGCAGAUAUCAGGAGGAACACCAGUUGCGAAGGCAGCUCGCUGGGACGUUACUGACGCUGAGACGCGAAAGCGUGGGGAGCAAACAGG
rnacentral:rRNA from 1 species